rnacentral:rRNA from 1 species
CUACGUGUUACUCACCCGUCCGCCACUCGUUGGCGACCAAAAUCAAUCAGGUGCAAGCACCAUCAAUCAAUUGGGCCAACGCGUUCGACUUGCAUGUAUUAGGCACACCGCCGGCGUUCAUCCUGAGCCAUGAUCAAACUC